CCCCCCCUCCUCACCCCUCCCCUCCCGAGCGCAGGGACAUGGAGGACGACGCGGGGACUUGGAGUUUCUUCCUUUCUUCCUUUCUUUCCGCGUCUUUUCCAAGGUAAAGGAAGAGGAGGAGGAGGAGGAGGAUGACGCGGCUCUGACGCAUCCGACGUGAGUUUGUUCGGGGGCGGUGAUGUCAUCCACGGGUCAUGUUCACGAACCUCACAGGCAGAUGUUCGUGUGCCCUCUGACCAUCACCAUCAUCAUCAUCAUCAUCAUCAUCACCAUCAUCAUCAUCAUCAUCAUCAUCAUCAUCAUCAUCAUCACCAUCACCAUCAUCAUAUUGUGAAAUAUUUAAACAGAUGAAUUUCUUUUAGGAACAACAAAUAUUGAUUAAUAUUUUUGUUGAUUCCAUCAAAUUUUUUUUUAUUUCAAAAUAAUAAAAUAAAACCACAUGGCUUUUUCCAACCUUUUUAUUAGAACUCUACCUGUCUCACCAGGGAGUUCUAAGCAGUGUCCACCGGUCCAGGGCCGCAGCGAGAGGAUUUCAGGAUUAUGGAUGUCAAUAUUUAAGCAGUCUCUCGCGACAGGCCGUGGAACACGCUCAUCAUACCACAGUGAAGGGGCGAUGGGGCUUUGAGAACUGACCACGAUGAGCAAAUGCAAUCAUGAGCCGAAGACCGUGACACAUGGACGGACACUUCAGUUCUGUGGCGUCCACUCCGCCCGGCAACACACGACUGUCGGUGGAACAUCUCAUCGGUGGAACCCUCAGAACGUUUCCACUGGAGAGCAGCGAAUGUGAGCCAGAUACUGUGUGUGUGUGUGUGUGUGUGUGUGUUACCUCCCCCCCAGGAGGCUCCGGCAGAUUCCAGGAACAGCAUCAGGGAGGAUCUCUGUCCAGAAGAAAGGGAGAUGACAAACACCCGACCCAACGAUACAGACGAGCUGGAGGCCGCCAUCAAAGCGACCUGGACUUCAACAAGGAGCCGAGCAUCUGCAUCAUCGCCCGGGGCAACAAGGUCCGCGUCAGGUGUUGGGGGGAACUGAGGGAGACCUGACGAGAAGUGGGCUAGUGGAACUCAUGGGACGAAGGGCGGAGGACAUGGAAUAAUUGUUGGACUGCCACAACACGAGCGACUCGAGCGAGACAAUGUGGGAUCCAUGGGGACAGUGGAACCCAAACAUCUAAGAUAAACGCUAAUCUGAGCACGAAACGACCCUGGAGGAGGCUCCGGCAGAAUCCAGGAACAUCAGAGGAUCUUUUGAUCGAUCUUAGGAAAUAUGUGAAUAGUUUCUUAGAAUGGAAUUUGGAUUUUCGUCACAAAAAACAAAACAAGAAAAGCAUUAAAAUAUUUCACUGUACGAGUCAUGAAUCUACAAUCUAUGAAAGUUUUUAAUUUUUGAAUGAACGGGAAAGAAAAACCUUCUCCACAACAUUCCUUCUUUUUAACAUGCACCUUUAUGUACUGUAAAGUCCUUUGAGAUAAGUUAUGUUGUGAUUUGGUGCUUUACAAAUAAAAAUGGAAUUGAAAUGAAA